AACGAACGCUAUCGGUAUGCUUAACACAUGCAAGACGGACGGACUAAUUAGGGCUUGCUCCAAUUAGUUAGUGGCAGACGGGUGAGUAACACGUGGGAAUCUGCCCAUCAGUACGGAAUAACUUUUAGAAAUAAAAGCUAAUACCGUAUAUUCUCUACAGAGGAAAGAUUUAUCGCUGAUGGAUGAGCCCGCGUCAGAUUAGGUAGUUGGUGAGGUAACGGCUCACCAAGCCGACGAUCUGUAGCUGGUCUGAGAGGAUGAUCAGCCACACUGGGACUGAGACACGGCCCAGACUCCUACGGGAGGCAGCAGUGGGGAAUAUUGGACAAUGGGCGAAAGCCUGAUCCAGCAAUACCGAGUGAGUGAUAAAGGCCCUAGGGUUGUAAAGCUCUUUUAGCAAGGAAGAUAAUGACGUUACUUGCAGAAAAAGCCCCGGCUAACUCCGUG
rnacentral:rRNA from 1 species